AUCACAAAACAAAAUCAUUCAUUAAUAAUCUCAUAAUCCAAAAUAUGCAACAAAUAAUAUAAAUUCGCACUUAAAUGUCUUCAUCACUUUCUCCAUCUCUUUCUUCAUUUGGACACCAAUAAAAAAGAGAACAAAUAAUAUAAAUUAGCACUUAAAUGACACCAAUAAUUAUUUAGCUCAUCACCGAUCCUACACUUAGACUUGAUUAUACCCUACAUCAAGGCAUUCUCAGGUAUAAAAUGAAGUUAUUUGUGGGAAAAUUAAUUUAGAAAAUCAUGGGAGCCAUCUGGAUGAAAAUUAAUUUAGAAAAUCAUCAAGUAAAGCAACUCUUAUUACAGUAUGAUAUGAAAGCUUUUUUACUUGAUCAGUAGCUAGAACGGAAUGCAAACAUACUGGAGGCUUGGCACCAUGUUUCUCCAGUAGCUUGAUCACUGCAUGAUUUUUAUAAUGUAUUGCAUCUGCCAAGGGUUGUUCAAGCAAAAGAUUAGAUUGUUUCCAAAAAUGUUAACUAAGAAGGAAAAACAGGAUACUCAAAAUUUUCAGAUUGUGUCCAUUUCUUUAGCUAUUACACGAUACAUGUGCAUGAUAUUGGACAACAUUAAUAUGAACCGACAGUGGAUUAAACCUCUGCUCUGUCAAAGAUCAUAUUAUUUUGUCUUCAAUUAGUCAGAUGACUCUUACACCUAGGGUCACAUCAUAAGGAGAUUGAAGAAAUUUUAGUCAAUACAUGAGGUUGACAAGCUAGCGGUAAGACAAUCUCAGCCCAAGAGUAAGAAUUACUGAAAGCUUAAGCUAGAGACACAACUGAUUACUUGAUAUGGAGACAUAACAAGACUUUCUCGGUGAAAUAAUGCUACAAGAAGCUACAAUCCAGAAUGGGAUACAACUCGUGGUCUUGGAAGCUAACAUCUUCAAUAACAACAAUAAAGGUAAGAUGGGCUAACAGAAGGAAAAGUUGUCAAUAUGUGCAAUAUUACUCUCAUUAACCAACUACAAACCAAAAAAGAACCUUUUUGUCUGAUUUCAUAAGCUAGACACCAAGAAGUAACGGUACCAACAACAACGAACCAACAGAAGAUCGUAGUGACAAUCCAACAUCAACAAACCAAAUGGGGUUGUUAUCAUAUCAUAGUAAGGCCCCAAAAUAUGGGCUAAAGAUUGAAGUUCCCUCUGGAGUAAAAACUAGGCAAAUUUUUUCUAUCCACCUAAAGAUUGCUAGGCAGAGAACCCUUACCGUACCUAUGCUGGUAGGAACUAGCAAGUACAAUAACAACAUGCCCAGUGCAGUCCCACAAAGUGAAGUUGGGGAAGGUAGAAUAUAUGCAGACCUUACCCCCUACCUCAAAGAUAGAGAGACUGUUUUCAUGUAAGAGCUAGCAAAUACCUAGUGGAAAUUAGUAGUUUGUCCACAGACUGACCCGGACUCUAAAUAAUAACUGUAAAAGUAAGAUGGGCUAAAGGAACUCAAGGGGUGAAGGGAGACAUCAGGAAGGCAAGGACAGCUUGCCUCGAACCUUGGCAUGGUGAGAUUAAAAGAACAACAAUUUUCUUACUGAGAGGACUGGGCUUCACAUCCCAAAGGAUGGAUUGCAACAAACUCGGCUUCUCAACCAGAAGGAUGGCUUGCCAAAGUUAGUCGAGCAGUAAAUCGGAUUAUAGAAGUAAAAACUUUUCGUACAAACAUGGGCUAGAACAACCUGGCCAAAGCUACUCAACUCAAGAAAGGUUUUACUCUACUAACCAGCUACAUACCCAAUUAAGAACCUCUUUUAAAAAUUUUCAUAAGCUAGAUACCAAGAACUGUACCAACAACAGCAAACUACUCUCAAUAACCAACUACAUACACAAAAUGGAACCCUUUUACUUUUUAAUUAGGUCACAUGUUCAAGCCGUGGAAACAGUUUCUUGCAGAAAUGCAGAGUAAGGUUACGUACAAUAGGCCCUCAUUGUCAUGUUCUUUCACAAACCACACAAAUAGUGAAAGCUUUAGUGCACCGGGCUGUCUUUUAAUUUCAUAAGCU
rnacentral:lncRNA from 1 species